UUUGGGGAAGCGGAGGGACAUUACCGAGUUAUACAACUCAUCAACCCUGUGAACAUACCUAAAACGUUGCUUCGGCGGGAACAGACGGCCCUGUAACAACGGGCCGCCCCCGCCAGAGGACCCCUAACUCUGUUUUUAUAAUGUUUUUCUGAGUAAACAAGCAAAUAAAUUAAAACUUUCAACAACGGAUCUCUUGGCUCUGGCAUCGAUGAAGAACGCAGCGAAAUGCGAUAAGUAAUGUGAAUUGCAGAAUUCAGUGAAUCAUCGAAUCUUUGAACGCACAUUGCGCCCGCCAGUAUUCUGGCGGGCAUGCCUGUUCGAGCGUCAUUACAACCCUCAGGCCCCCGGGCCUGGCGUUGGGGAUCGGCGGAAGCCCCCUGUGGGCACACGCCGUCCCUCAAAUACAGUGGCGGUCCCGCCGCAGCUUCCAUUGCGUAGUAGCUAACACCUCGCAACUGGAGAGCGGCGCGGCCAUGCCGUAAAACACCCAACUUCUGAAUGUUGACCUCGAAUCAGGUAGGAAUACCCGCUGAACUUAAGCAUAUCAAAGCGGGGAGAGAAAUC
rnacentral:rRNA from 1 species